UACGUAGGGUGCAAGCGUUGUCCGGAAUUAUUGGGCGUAAAGAGCUCGUAGGCGGUUUGUCGCGUCUGCUGUGAAAACGCGAGGCGUCAACCCUCGCGCCUGCAGUGGGUACGGGCAGACUAGAGUGCGGUAGGGGAGAUUGGAAUUCCUGGUGUAGCGGUGGAAUGCGCAGAUAUCAGGAGGAACACCGGUGGCGAAGGCGGAUCUCUGGGCCAUUACUGACGCUGAGGAGCGAAAGCGUGGGGAGCGAACAGG
rnacentral:rRNA from 1 species